GUAUGGGGUCUUUAACAGUCGCCGCGAGAGCUCGUCGGUGCAGCCCAUAUUAAUUCAAUUUAGUUUCAGUUUCAAAACGUGGCGGAACGGAACGGAUCCAGAGCAAGUGUGACGCUAUGAUUCACUUAUUGGGAACGCGAUGGAACGGACCAGCUCCGCGAAACAAGUGACGCCGCGAUUCAAUUAAAACGCGACGAACAUAUAAGAUAGAUAGUCUCCGGAACGAGGAAUAUUGCGGCUGAUAUAAUUGCAGAAAGCAGGAGCACGUACACGCCGGCCGCGAUGAAUUGGCUCCAAAACGAGUCGCGACUCAUUCCGGGGAGGGCGUCGAUAGAGAAUCAAAAGCAUAUCCUAUUAUGCGCAGUUGAUCAUGAUAUUCCGGAGAGCUUGAAAGGAGGAGGAGGCCUAGGAUAGCUGCUGCAUCUGCAGGCUGCAGCGGAGCAACCUUGGGUGUCAUCGUAGCUUCAUGACUGCAGAAUAACUCCGCUCGUUGCGCAUCAGAUCGCGGUGAGUGACUCAAUUAUUUUAUCAAUAGGGUAACGAAUCUGUGA